rnacentral:rRNA from 1 species
GAUGAACGCUGGCGGCGUGCUUAACACAUGCAAGUCGAACGGAGUGCUCAUGACAGAGGAUUCGUCCAAUGGAGUGAGUUACUUAGUGGCGGACGGGUGAGUAACGCGUGAGUAACCUGCCUUGGAGUGGGGAAUAACAGGUGGAAACAUCUGCUAAUACCGCAUGAUGCAGUUGGGUCGCAUGGCUCUGACUGCCAAAGAUUUAUCGCUCUGAGAUGGACUCGCGUCUGAUUAGCUGGUUGGCGGGGUAACGGCCCACCAAGGCGACGAUCAGUAGCCGGACUGAGAGGUUGGCCGGCCACAUUGGGACUGAGACACGGCCCAGACUCCUACGGGAGGCAGCAGUGGGGAAUAUUGGGCAAUGGGCGCAAGCCUGACCCAGCAACGCCGCGUGAAGGAAGAAGGCUUUCGGGUUGUAAACU